rnacentral:lncRNA from 1 species
GUGGGACGGUCCAGAUGAAGUGAGCACUCCAAAAAUGGAGAAGAUUUUGCAUGGACAACCAAAACCAGCAGCUGAUCAGGAUGGAAGAAAAACCGCAGUCCAGGAAGAGGUCAAAUCAGCCCAAGGUCAGACAAACUUCUAUAGAAACUACACAAAUGUGUAUGCACCAAUUGUUAUUGACAGCGAGUCUGAGCCAGAAGAAACACAUGGAGCACACUGCAGAAGAACGCACAGAGGAUUUGACUGCUGCAGACAUUGUAUUGGAACUCUCAACAAAGAUAAUAAAAACAUCUUGCAGCAGGUUCAAUAUAAAUAGAGCCAAUGUGUGGGAUGGAGCAGUCCGCGGCUUCAAACGUGCUUCAUUUGACCCAUCUCAUGAGUUAUUAGUGAAAUUUACUGAUGAUGAGGGGCAAACUGAGGAUGCAUUGGACACUGGUGGUCCCAAGCGAGAGUUCCUGACCCUCCUAAUGAACUGCCUGAGAACUCGAAGAAUCUUUGAUGGCCCAGAGGACAGGAAAUUUCUCACAUUUGACAGUGCAGGUAAUGUUAUUUAGAGAGAGGUUUCAGAAUUUUAACAUCUAUUCUUG